rnacentral:rRNA from 1 species
CAGUAGCCGCGGUAAAACGUAGGUGGCAAGCGUUGUCCGGAAUUACUGGGCGUAAAGCGUACGUAGGCGGCUUUGUAAGUUAGAGGUGAAAGCCUGGUGCUCAACACCAGAACUGCCUUUAAGACUGCAUCGCUUGAAUCGCGGAGAGGUGAGUGGAAUUCCGAGUGUAGAGGUGAAAUUCGUAGAUAUUCGGAAGAACACCAGUGGCGAAGGCGGCUCACUGGACGCGUAUUGACGCUGAGGUACGAAAGCGUGGGGAGCAAACAGGAUUAGAGACCCCGGUAGUCCCUGUCUCUUAUAC